rnacentral:rRNA from 1 species
UGCGUAGGCGGAUAGGUAAGUCAGGGGUGAAAUCUUCGAGCUUAACUCGGAAACUGCCUUUGAUACUAUCUAUCUUGAAUAUUGUGGAGGUAAGCGGAAUAUGUCAUGUAGCGGUGAAAUGCUUAGAUAUGACAUAGAACACCUAUUGCGAAGGCAGCUUACUACGCAUAUAUUGACGCUGAGGCACGAAAGCGUGGGGAUCAAACA